GGAGCUUGAUUUUUCAAGAUGAGGAAGGGAAGCUGCAAAACAAUUCAGCCAAAACGCAGGCUGGGUGUUUCUAAUGAUGUUAACCUACAAUUUUCUUCCAACUGCUGCUCGUGGUGAAUUGAUCCAGGUCCAUUUCCCCACCUGCAAGUGACACACUGAGACAACUUGAUCAUUCACUGUCCUGGUCCGGAGUCUGUGGACUCCGUGUUUAUGUUUAAGUUUAUUAACAUUCUGUGGUUUUGUUUAUUUUGGGUUGGUUGUGAUUAUCACUAGUGUUUGUGUCCUCUUUGCCCUCCUGUUCCACGUUUCAAGUUCCUAUGUUCUGUCACCCCAGUCAGUGUUAAGUUUGCAUCUGUGUUAGAGUUCAGUUGGUGUGUUUCCUGCUUUAUUUUGAAGGUCCGUGUCUGUUUUCAGUGUUUCUAAUUUCACUUCCCCUUGUGUCGUAAUGUCCAAUUAAUUCCAGUCGUGUCUCUCUCCUGUCUUAAAAACCCCGAAAGUAAGAUUUUAGUUGUUCUUGACUGAGAAAAACAAAACUCUCUUCAUAUUAUUAUUACUUAUUUUCAUCAACCACACUCCUAUUCUGUUUUUCUUUUGUGUCCACUGCGGGGAGCUGGUGACCUGCAGCAUCACCCGCUCCCCCCAGUUGGAGACAAUUCCCUUCUCACACUUCCACACUCUUUUUUUGUUUUGUUUUCGUUACUUUUUCUUUUUCAUUUUUACCCCCCCCCCUUUUUUUUACCCCAUUGUUUUAAACCCACACAUUAACCUCUUAACUCACUUCUCCAACCUCUCUUUUCUUUUCUCUCCAACUGCUCUCAUCUAGUUCUAGAUUAAAUUCUCCAUCCAUACUUGAUCACCUUUAAAUCUCAGUUAAUUUUUGUUAUUUAUUUAUCAUUACCAUAUCACUAAUCUACUGUUUAUUUUAUUUAUUUAUUUAUUUUAGUUCAUCUUCUCUUCUCUUAUUUUAUUACUAUUAUUGUUUCACCAAUAAUCCCCUGUAAUCCGCUCUGUCUCCCCUUUUGCCCUUCAAAGGAGCACACACACACCUCCAUUUUGCUCCUCACCUCCAUUUUCCCCCUCAGGGCACUUACACACACCUCCUCCAUUUUGGUCCUCAG
ensembl:lncRNA